rnacentral:rRNA from 1 species
UACAGAGGGUGCAAGCGUUGUUCGGAAUUAUUGGGCGUAAAGGGCGCGCAGGCGGUACGGCACGUCCGUUGUGAAAUCGCUCGGCUCAACUGGGCGGGGUCAGCGGAUACGGCCGCACUUGAGCAAGCUAGGGGGCAAUGGAAUUCCCGGUGUAGUGGUGGAAUGCGUAGAGAUCCGGAAGAACACCGGUGGCGAAGGCGGUCUGCUGGGCAGUUGCUGACACUGAGGCGCGACAGCGUGGGGAGCAAACAGG